UCCUACCUCUUCAUCAACAUCUGACUCAUCAUUGUCCGUACUCUUGUGUUCUGAUAAAGAACAAUUAGCCUCACUCUUCUUAUCAUGUAUGGUAGGUAUGUUCACUCAUCAAAUACGACAUUUCAUCUCGGUUACAUGGAGUUUAUUUUAUUGUGAAUAUUUUACUGCACAAUAUUCAGUCUCAUAUAACAUUACAACUUAUAGUUAUACAAUAAAACUUCUUAUUAAACUUAAGUGAUACAUUUUUAUCACGUAUGACAUUUGAAGCUCUCCGUCUUAUCAUUCAACCACUUAAAUUUACAUUUCCUUCAAAAUUACAUAUAUAACCUACCAGGCACUACAAAAAUAUGAGAAGCAGUCUAAUUUGUAUACCUCAAAUACAGCGUACUUACACCACCAAAUGCAUAGAUGAAUUGCCUCACAUUACUUUAAUUUAAUUAUAUGUCUCAAUUUCAAGUAUGGUAAUGUAAUUGCGUUAAAUCCUUCCUUAAGGGAUCUUUGCAGUUGAUAUUAAAAAAUACAACCCCACAUAAUAUAAAAAUGUGAACAAGGAGUGGACAAAUAUAAAUUUUAUUAUUAGACCAUACCGAGCAUGCAUGUUUUAGAACUAUAAAAAUAUAAUUUGUUGAAAAACAAACUAUAAAAAUUGCAAUGGGACUGGCAUAUUAUAUGUUAAAAUCUAGAUUCUCUCUGUGAUUCCUUCAUGCAAAACGCCAGUGC
rnacentral:lncRNA from 1 species